CUGACAGCAAGAGCUCACCUUCCAGUCAGGAAUCUACUCAGAAUUGGAGUGAAAUGGAACUCGGGGACAUGGGAGGACACUGAAGGACAUAGGAAUGCUAGGAAGAAGGUUUCAUCAUCCAAGAGCUGACUGUGAGGAUGACAGCUUCCAAGAUGUCUCAAAAAGAGAACACCAAACUCUGUUCUUGGGCCUAUUGGGAGAGAAUUCUGACCUCUGCAGAGUGAAGGUACUGAGGUUCUUACCAGUGGUCCAGAUGGGAGCUCCAUUUCCAAUGAUCCUUUCUUUCCUAACGAAUUUUCAUCUCACAUUUGGAUUCUUUCUCCAAUGCCUGUCAGAAGAAG